rnacentral:lncRNA from 1 species
AGGAGUACUUGAUUAAAGUAAAUGAAAAGAAUAGUUAGGUAAAUGUCUAAUAUGCAAAUUCAUUGGUGGAACUUAAAAGAUGCCUACCUGACGUACAACAGUUCUUGUGAGAAGGAUAGAUGCAGCCAACUCGGUCAGUAAAUUAGGAUUACUUUUUCGGAUAUGCGAAUUAAUUAAGGGCUCUAAGUUAACUUCUUUAUU